GGAGAAUUGGCUCCUACAGAAUGGUAUUUUAUGGAGAAAAGACCAGUUUGCUCUCUUGUUUUUAUAUUGAAAACGUCAUAGCAAUAAAACCGAUUGGUAUCAUUACUCAUUAUUUAAUACUGAGACGUGUUGCAGCUCUUUACAGACAUGCAGGAGAACGUACCCCAGGGAGCUAAAGGUUGCAUAAUCAACUUGCAAUGCAGCCCCAGGAAGAGCUAGCAUGCAGGAUAACUUGCUGCUUAAGGAAAGCACCCAGGAGCAAGAGAGAUCACACCAUAGUUAAACACAGACAGAGCUUAAAGGGUCAUAUCCUCCUAUCGACGUCUACACCACUCUCCUCAUUGAUUUCCAACAGGGAACGAAUUCAGCAGGCAGAUCGAUGGCAGGAUAUAUUAGUCAAAUGUCACCCAUUUAAAGGUUGGGGAACUUUGGGCUAGAUCUUCAACCACAGCAAAUUGAUUUACUCCAGCUGAGAAUCAGGCCCACAGGUUUUAAGAAGAAGCCAAAAUAUGCUUCCAAAAAGGAGCUGUGUAGUGGUAAGAUGUGCAGCAGUGUUGUAAUUAUAUCCUUUGAAUUACUGUCUCCUCCAUCUCUGCAUGUUGCCUUAGGAUCAGUGGAUCAAAGGGCCAGAGAUCCAACUAUGGAAUUUCACAGUCACGACAAACAUCUCCAACUCACCACAAAUUAGCCACUUCCAUGAAAAUGCUCAUUGUCCCUGUUAAUUCAGUGUCUGUGGACCUGAUCCUGUAAGCCCUUACAUGUGUAGUCCCUCCUUCAGUGGGGCUAUCCACGUAUGGAGGGGGUAGCUCUGCUGAGUUACAGGGUAGUAUGGAUGGAGGAGAGUAAGAAUUUGGGCUUCCAGCUUUAGCUUUUUAGGCAAGAACUGUCAUGCUGUUUUUAUAUGGUGCCUAGCAUAAUGGAGCUGAGUUGGAUCAGGUGCUACCAAAACACAAAUAAUACAAAAUAGUAUGGUAGAUAGCAGGGCUGAGUUGCAUCCUGGAUUCAAAUCAAAAUGAGAAUGAUGGUGUUUCUCAUUGACUUUGCACUGGUAUAAAUGAUGACACAAGGAGCACAACUAUGAAGGAUCAGGUCCCAGGGUGUAAGAAAUAUUUAUAACCUAUAACUAUAUUUUAUACCUAUCUGUCUCAUAGAACUGGAAGGGACCCUGAAAGGUCAUUGAGUCCAACCCGCUGCCUUCACUAGGGGGACCAAGUACUGAUUUUGCCCCAGAUCCCUAAGUAGCCCCCUCAAGAAUUGAAUUCACAAUGCUGGGUUUAGCAGGCCAAUGCUCAAACCACUGAGCUAUCCCUCCUCCUUAAACUGUAUUGGCACUCUCACAGGUGUUCAGCUAAAUGUGCUAAAUAUCAAUGACACAAUAC
rnacentral:lncRNA from 1 species